rfam:Oryza nivara chromosome 3, whole genome shotgun sequence.
CCUCCGAGUCGUAAGUAUUCGUGUUCAAUGUUUGACCGUUUAUUUUAUUUAAAAAACAUUAGUCAUAUAUACAGUAGUAUUCAUGUUUUAUCAUCUAAUAACAAUAAAAGUACUAAUUAUAAAAAAUUUUAAAUAAAACAAAUGAUCAAACAUUGGACAUGAGAAGUACAACUGCAUUUAUU